rnacentral:rRNA from 1 species
GACUCAAUCGUCAGGCCGCGGAAGAUACUGCUAGGCUAGAGGGCGGGAGAGGUUGACGGUAUCCCGGGGUAGGGGUGAAAUCCUAUAAUCCCGGGAGGACCACCAGUGGCGAAGGCGGUCAACUAGAACGCGCCUGACGGUGAGGGACGAAAGCUGGGGGAGCGAACCGGAUUAGACACCCGGGUAGUCCCAGCCGUAAACGAUGCGGGCUAGGUGUUGGGGUAGCUACGAGCUACUCCAGUGCCGCAGAGAAGUUGUUAAGCCCGCCGCUUGGGAAGUACGGCCGCAAGGCUGAAACUUAAAGGAAUUGGCGGGGGAGCACCACAAGGGGUGAAGCCUGCGGUUUAAUUGGAGUCAACGCCGGGAAACUUACCAGGGCUGACAGCAGAGUGAAGGCCAGACUAAAGAUCUUGCCAGACAAGCUGAGAGGUGGUGCAUGGCCGUCGACAGUUCGUGCCGUGAGGUGUCCUGUUAAGUCAGGUAACGAACGAGACCCUCGCCACUAGUUGCCAACGGGUUCCGUUGGAAUGCCGGGCACACUAAUGGGACUGCCGUCGAUAAGGCGGAGGAAGGAGAGGGCCACGGCAGGUCAGUAUGCCCCGGAUGCCCUGGGCCACACGCGGGCUGCAAUGGUAGGGACAGAGGGUUCUGACCUCGAAAGGGGAAAGUAAUCCCUAAACCCUAUCGUAGUUGGGAUUGAGGGCUGAAACCCGCCCUCAUGAACA